UUUGGACAAUGGGCGCAAGCCUGAUCCAGCCGUGCCGCGUGAGUGAAGAAGGCCUUCGNGUUGUANANCUCUUUCGGACGGAAAGNCAUCGCGCAGGUUAAUACCCUGCGCGGAUGACGGUACCGUCAUAAGAAGCACCGGCUAACUACGUUCCAGCAGCCGCGGUAAUUCGUAGGGUGCGAGCGUUAAUCGGAAUUACUGGGCGUAAAGCGUGCGCAGGCGGUUGCUUAAGAGAAGGGUGGAAUCCCCGGGCUUAAGCUGGGAACAGCGCUUGUGAAUGGUCAGGUAGAGUACGGCAGAGGGGGGUGGAAUUCCACGUGUAGCAGUGAGAUGCGUAGAGAUGUGGAGGAACACCGAUGGCGAAGGCAGCCCCCUAGGCCGAUACUGACGCUCAUGCACGAAAGCGUGGGUAGCAAACAGGA
rnacentral:rRNA from 1 species